rnacentral:rRNA from 1 species
CGAACGCUGGCGGCGUGCUUAACACAUGCAAGUCGAACGGAAAGGCCCUGCUUUUGUGGGGUGCUCGAGUGGCGAACGGGUGAGUAACACGUGAGUAACCUGCCCUUGACUUUGGGAUAACUUCAGGAAACUGGGGCUAAUACCGGAUAGGAGCUCCUGCUGCAUGGUGGGGGUUGGAAAGUUUCGGCGGUUGGGGAUGGACUCGCGGCUUAUCAGCUUGUUGGUGGGGUAGUGGCUUACCAAGGCUUUGACGGGUAGCCGGCCUGAGAGGGUGACCGGCCACAUUGGGACUGAGAUACGGUCCAGACUCCUACGGGAGGCAGCAGUGGGGAAUAUUGGACAAUGGGCGAAAGCCUGAUCCAGCCAUGCCGCGUGUGUGAAGAAGGUCUUCGGAUUGUAAAGCACUUUAAGUUGGGAGGAAGGGCAGUAAGUUAAUACCUUGCUGUUUUGACGUUACCAACAGAAUAAGCACCGGCUAACUUCGUG